UACGUAGGUGGCAAGCGUUGUCCGGAUUUACUGGGCGUAAAGAGCGCGCAGGCGGUCGUUCAAGUCGCGUGUGAAAGCCCCCGGCUCAACUGGGGAGGGUCACGCGAUACUGAUCGACUCGAAGGCAGGAGAGGGUAGUGGAAUUCCCGGUGUAGUGGUGAAAUGCGUAGAUAUCGGGAGGAACACCAGUGGCGAAGGCGGCUCUCUGGAACGGUACUGACGCUGAGACGCGAAAGCGUGGGGAGCGAACAGG
rnacentral:rRNA from 1 species